rnacentral:lncRNA from 1 species
CCCACUGGGAUUAUAGGCACGAACCACCAUGCUAUAUGGAACUUUUGAAUUGGGGUUUAGAAGAAAAUGCAGUAAGUUCUGAGAGACUGAGGAUGAUGCUUGGCCAAAGGGCUGGUUUGAACAUGAAAUGUAUCUCUAUUAAUGCCCGUGUGAGGGCCCAGAGGUGCCUUGGCCCUGGAGUCAGGAGAUGUGGGUCCCAGGCAGUGCUCUGACAUGCCCUAGCUGAGCAGAGCUGCUCUCUGGGAGCCAGUUUUCUGCUUGGUAAAAUUAGGACAAUAUGCUCUAUCUUUCGGGUUGGGGAGGGUGGUGCGAGGAGCAGAAAUAAUGCGUGGAAAGCAAUCUGCACCGUGCCUUGCAGGAGAGGAAGCUGCUGUUCCUGUUUGCAUGUGCCAGGCCAGUUACUGUAGAGAUGUACGCUUCAUUAAAACACCGUCAUCUUCACCAGGCUGCAGAGAUACCAGGGUUACAGCACAGCUGAGAUGAGGAGCUGACUGAUCCUGUUGGGAGGACCUGGAGAUGAUUCAUGCCCUCCAAAGCAACUCCCCGAGCAUCUUCAAAGCCGGAGGCCUGGAAGUGAUGAGAGGCCAACAUGCGCUCUAAUGAGAUACAGCCCUGGGUUCCACUUCAUCUCCUUGAGACUCCAGCUUUUGCUUGCUCUCUCCAUGUCCACCUUCCCUUCCUGACUGCCAGCGGCAGCCGGCAGAUCAUAUUUCCAUGCGGCAGCUCAAUGCACUCAGCCAAUGCAUAAAGGAAGCCAGUGGAAGGUUAUCAAUAAAUAAUGGAUCAAACAGGGAGAGUGUGAAAGAUGAAUACUGGAUGUUUUCCAGGACUUUGCACAGUCAUUCAUAUGCAUAUAUACCUUGCAAAUUUCCAAGAAGAAAAUAUAGCAUGUGGCAUGUCUCAAACUUGAUUGUUCUAUAGAAAAUGUUAUGAGCUCAACUGUGUCUCCCUAAAACUCACAUAUUGAAGCUCUAACCCCCAGUACCUUAGAAUGUGAUGGUAUUUGAAGAUAAGCCUUUUAAAAUGGGAAUUAAGGUAAAAGGGGGUCAGGAAAGUGGGCCCUAAUCCAGUUUGACUGGUGUCCUUAUAAGAAGAGGAGGCUAGGACACAGACACAGACACUACACGUGUGCACACACAGACGAAUGACCAUGUGAACACACAGCAAGAAAGCAGCCACCUGCAAGCUGCCGGGCGUGGUGGCUCACACCUGUAAUCCCAGCACUUUGGGAGGCCGAAGCAGGUGGAUCACGAAGUCCUGAGUUUGAGAUCAGCCUGAUCAACAUGGUGAAACCCCAUCUCUACUAAA